rnacentral:snRNA from 1 species
AUGCUUGCUUUGGCAGCACAUAUACUAAAAUUGGAACCAUAUAGAGAUUAGCAAAGCCCCUGUGCAAGGAUGACACACAAAUUCAUGAAGCAUUCCAUAUAUUA